UACGGAGGGGGCGAGCGUUUAUUCGGAAUUAUUGGGCGUAAAGGGCGCGUAGGCGGCUAGAUGUGUCAAAGGUGAAAUCCCUCGGCUCAACUGAGGAACUGCCUUUGAAACUGUCUGGCUUGAGGCCGGGAGAGGGUAGCGGAAUUCCCAGUGUAGCGGUGAAAUGCGUAGAUAUUGGGAGGAACACCAGUGGCGAAGGCGGCUACCUGGACCGGUUCUGACGCUGAGGCGCGAAAAGCGUGGGUAGCAAACAGG
rnacentral:rRNA from 1 species